UACGAAGGGGGGCUAGCGUUGCUCGGAAUCACUGGGCGUAAAGGGUGCGUAGGCGGGUCUUUAAGUCAGGGGUGAAAUCCUGGAGCUCAACUCCAGAACUGCCUUUGAUACUGAGAAGCUUGAGUCCGGGAGAGGUGAGUGGAACUGCGAGUGUAGAGGUGAAAUUCGUAGAUAUUCGCAAGAACACCAGUGGCGAAGGCGGCUCACUGGCCCGGUACUGACGCUGAGGUGCGAAAGCGUGGGGAGCAAACAGG
rnacentral:rRNA from 1 species